rnacentral:lncRNA from 1 species
CUUCUGCAGGCAGGAAGCGACGAAGCUACGGAACUCCGGGGAUGCGGUGGGCGGCGCCUCCGGCGGCGCCGCGUAGCAGAUGGCCACCAUGAGACUCGCCCAGUCGCCCUGCCUCCCGAGCCGCUCGCCGAAGGGGAAGCGGCCCAGGUAGAACUCGAGGACGCUGACCCCGAAGCUCCAGAUGUCGCCGGCGCGGCCGUCGUAGGCGCCCUCGUUGAGGUCGGUGUUGAUCCGCUCGGGGCUCAUGUAGGCGAUCGUCCCAACCGCGGAGUUGCAGGGGUCCAUCGUCUGCGCCAGGAUCCGGCCGACUCCGAAGUCGGCGAUCUUGACCUCCCCCGCGCCGUUGAUGAGGAGGUUGGACGGCUUGAUGUCGCGGUGCACGAUCCGGCGGCGGUGGAG